rnacentral:lncRNA from 10 species
AAAUAAAGCAGUGAAGUGACUAAAACAGCAGAAAACAAAAUCUUCUUGAGUAAAGUACUCUUGGCAGUAGACUUUAUGAUGUGGUACAACAUCAGGAAAAAAUAAACCCAGCAGACAGAUGGUCUCCAGAGAGAAAUAACCAUAAACUCUGAAACUACUACACAUGAAAGUACCUGCCCAAGGAAUAGAGAAGACAGAUGUUUCUCUAGGGAUUGACCUACAAUGGCACUUGUUGCUCUUGGUGACCAGAGCUAAAAGAAAGCUGAAAGCCAGCAUCAGUGUGUGAAGUCACUGAAGUAUUUUAUAGAUCAGAAAAGUUGGCAAGCGAUGGACACUAGACAACACAAACUUCCUCUCUCCAAAAAUAUAUUCACAGUCAGCUUUAAAGCUGUAGUCACUCCUCUGGGGUCUGAUAAAAUGAGCAUCAGUUGAUCGGAAGAGUAUUUGAUCUUUGUCUUUCCUGUUUAAUGUUGCUUGGUGGAAAACCGUAAUUCAAAGAAAAGCAAUAGAAAACUAACCAGAAUAAACAUGGCCAUUCUUGAUAGACAUGUUGACUGAUGGACUGAGAGAUAUAGAUACAUGCCAUGAGAUCUCUUUAUGAGCAGUGGUCUUAUGGAUAUCUGCAUGACCUCUGCUGAAGUAAAAUACUGUGGUUCGUGAGAAGACGUGACCUUUGGAUACAGCUGGUCUAGUCCUGGCUCUGCUGUGUCAGUGAAAGUGGAACAGUUACAUGGCUCUCCCGAAUCUCUGUUUUCACUUGGUUAAAUGAGGGUUACAUGUACUUACUUCCAGUGUUGUUAUGAGAAUUAAAUGAGAUUAAAUGUUAAAAUUUGUGAGCGGUCAAUAUAUGUACUUCUUUUCUCCCCCUCAGUCUCUUAAGAAUAUUCUACACCAGUAUUGCAGAAUAAAGAAAAAUGGAUAUGUUAAUUUGUUUGAUAUAAUCAUUCCACAAUGUAUACAUAUAUCAGGUGGGGAGCAGUGGCUCAUGCCUGUAAUCCCAGCACUUUGGGAGGCCGAGGCAGGCAGAUCACUUGAGGCCAGAAGUUCGAGACCAGCCUGUCAACAUGGCAAAAACCUGUCUCUACUAAAAAAUUUAAAAAUU